rnacentral:rRNA from 1 species
GAGGAGGAAAGGCUACGGCGCUCUGGGAGGGGCUUGCGGCCCAUCAGCUAGUUGGUAGGGUAAAGGCCUACCAAGGCGAAGACGGGUAGGGGGUGUGAGAGCACGGUCCCCCACAAUGGGACUGAAACACGGCCCAUACUCCUACGGGAGGCAGCAGCAGGGAAUAUUGCCCAAUGGACGGAAGUCUGAGGCAGCGACGCCGCGUGAGUGAAGAAGGCCUUCGGGUCGUAAAGCUCUUUUGUAGGGGAAGAGGAAGGACGGUACCCUGAGAAAAAGCGUCGGCUAACUACGUGCCAGCAGCCGCGGUAAGACGUAGGACGCGAGCGUUAUCCGGAAUUACUGGGCGUAAAGGGCCAGUAGGCGGUUUGGUAAGUUGUGCGUGAAAGCCUCGUGCUCAACGCGAGGAAGCCGGACAAUACUGUCAAGCUAGAGGGCAUCAGAGGGGAGUGGAAUUCCCGGAGUAGCGGUAAAAUGCGCAGAUAUCGGGAGGAACACCGAUGGCGAAGGCAGCUCCCUGGGGUGUACCUGACGCUGAGGGGCGAAAGCUAGGGGAGCGAACAGGAUUAGAGACCCUGGUAGUCCUAGCUGUAAACGCUGGGUGCUAGGUGUGGGGCGUAGAAGCUCUGUGCCGCAGCAAACGCGAUAAGCAUCCCGCCUGGGAAUUACGGUCGCAAGGCUAAAACUCAAACGAAUUGACGGGGCCCCGCACAAGCAGCGGAGCGUGUGGUUCAAUUCGAUGCUACACGAAGAACCUUACCUGGGUUUGACAUGUACGUGGUAGAGAAGCGAAAGCGGAUUGACCCUUCGGGGAGCGUACACAGGUGCUGCAUGGCUGUCGUCAGCUCGUGCCGUGAGGUGUCGGGUUAAGUCCCGUAACGAGCGCAACCCUUGCCCUUAGUUACAAGUGUCUAGGGGGACUGCCGGCGGGAAGCCGGAGGAAGGUGGGGAUGACGUCAAGUCAGCAUGGCCCAUAUGUCCAGGGCUACACACACGCUACAAUGGUCGGUACAAAGGGUAGCGAAGCCGCGAGGUGGAGCGAAUCUCAUCAAAGCCGGUCGUAGUUCGGAUUGCAGGCUGCAACCCGCCUGCAUGAAGCUGGAGUUGCUAGUAACCGCGCGUCAG